rnacentral:rRNA from 1 species
GAUGAACGCUGGCGGCGUGCCUAAUACAUGCAAGUCGAGCGAACGGACGAGAAGCUUGCUUCUCUGAUGUUAGCGGCGGACGGGUGAGUAACACGUGGAUAACCUACCUAUAAGACUGGGAUAACUUCGGGAAACCGGAGCUAAUACCGGAUAAUAUUUUGAACCGCAUGGUUCAAAAGUGAAAGACGGUCUUGCUGUCACUUAUAGAUGGAUCCGCGCUGCAUUAGCUAGUUGGUAAGGUAACGGCUUACCGAGGCAACGAUGCAUAGCCGACCUGAGAGGGUGAUCGGACACACUAGAACUGAGACACGGUCCAGACUCCUACGGGAGGCAGCAGUAGGGAAUCUUCCGCAAUGGGCGAAAGCAUGACGGAGCAACGCCGCGUGAGUGAUGAAGGUCUUCGGAUCGUAAAACUCUGUUAUUAGGGAAGAACAUAUGUGUAAGUAACUGUGCACAUCUUGACGGUACCUAAUCAGAAAGCCACGGCUAACUACGUG